AGCGAACGCUGGCGGCAGGCUUAACACAUGCAAGUCGAACGCUCAUCUUCGGAUGGGAGUGGCAGACGGGUGAGUAACACGUGGGAACGUACCCUUUGGUUCGGAAUAACUCAGGGAAACUUGAGCUAAUACCGGAUACGCCCUUUUGGGGAAAGGUUUACUGCCGAAGGAUCGGCCCGCGUCUGAUUAGCUAGUUGGUGGGGUAACGGCCUACCAAGGCGACGAUCAGUAGCUGGUCUGUGAGGAUGAUCAGCCACACUGGGACUGAGACACGGCCCAGACUCCUACGGGAGGCAGCAGUGGGGAAUAUUGGACAAUGGGCGCAAGCCUGAUCCAGCCAUGCCGCGUGAGUGAUGAAGGCCUUAGGGUUGUAAAGCUCUUUUGUCCGGGACGAUAAUGACGGUACCGGAAGAAUAAGCCCCGGCUAACUUCGUGCCAGCAGCCGCAGUAA
rnacentral:rRNA from 1 species